AUGGAUGAUGGAGAGAAAAAUCCUCUUCUUUCCCGUAACAGCACGAAAAUCCAACUUACAGUUCAGUUGCUCGGUAGGUUACCGUCCUCCAGUCCCGAACUAAAUCCACUCUCCGCUCUCUCGGCGGAUCCGAUGCUGUCUCUGCCGCGGCGCAUCAGCCAGACGCCGUCCCGCUCCCCGACAGCCCUCCGCGGCCGCCUCCGCGGCGCAUCAGCCAGACGCCGUCCCGCUCCCCGACAGCCCUCCGCGGCCGUCUCCGUGACGCAGCCAAGCAGGUCCAAGCUAGCCUCCAGCCCCGACAGCUGCAGCUGGAAACACAGUUCUCACAGUGGUGCGACCGCCAAACCGAAAGGUUGCUUCGCCCGCCUCUGCCGCGAAGCUCUAGCCCGGUGAACCUCCAAAUCACGCACUCUUUUCCGCUAGUCGACCGCAGUCAAAACUAGCUGAGUCUCUCCUUUUUGUUCAGCUCGCGCGUGCACACUUCCCUUCCUUCUCUCCUUUCUUCCUCCCUCCCCUGCAACAAAAACACAGGUCCCGACCUGUGCUACCUUCAUGGGCCUCUAGAAAAUCAGAACCCCGAUCCACAUUUCAACUCUCUUCAAAAUCACAUAACAUAAUACUUUAUGAUUAACACAACAGUUUCAUUGCUCUAAAUACAUGUAUUCACCUUGUGACUUAUUACAGGGCAAAUUUCAUUCAGAGUACAGUUACAUCACAUAAAAUUAACUGUGACUACCUUAUGCUACUGUGGCGUUCAAGUCCAUGGGAACAUUGCAUCCAUUCCCAAACUCCCAUCCGGGCUACACCUGUAAAAACCAUAUCCUUAAACCACUUUUCAAACUGCGCCAUGCUCGGACAUUGCUUCAUAUCUUUACUUAGUCUGUUCCACAGCUUCAGUCCACACACAGAGAUGCAAAAACUUUUUAAUGUUGUACGGAUACAAGGAUGUUUUAAAUUUAAUUCCCCCCUCAAAUUGUAUCCCCGUUCCCUUUUAGAAAAACAGUUUUAGAAUAUUGUCAGGAAGCAGGUUAUUUAUUGCUUUAUACAUAAUUUGUGCAGUGAGAAAAUGAACCAGAUCUGUGAAUUUUACAAUUUUUGAUUUUAAGAAUAGUGGAUUUGUAUUUGGAUUUGAUCUCUGUAACCAGUUUUAUGGAUUAUCCUUAUGGCCCUUUUUUGUAAUAUAAAGAUUGAUGAUAGCGAACAUUUGUAAGUAUUGCCCCAAACCUCUGCACAGUAAUGAAAUACGGUGCAAUCAAGGACAAAGGGAGAAUGUGGAGUGAUUUGUGGUCCAGAAUGUGUUUUACUUUACUCAAGAUUGAAACGCUUCUUGAAAUUUUGUUAUGUAUAUGAUUUAUAUGAGACUUCCAGUUUAAUUUAUCAUCUAUAAUCACACCAAGAAACUUAUGUUCAAGUACUCUUUCAAUUUCCACAACAUCUAUAUGAAUCUGCGCUUGUGCAUUUCUAAGGGAAUU
rnacentral:lncRNA from 1 species